UAUAGUCCCGUCUCCCAAAAAAGAUCGAUAUCGAGUAAAAAAGUAACACGGAAAGAACGAGAUAGAGAACCCAACGAGAUAGACAACGUUAUAGGCGGAGACCUUGAUAGCCAUUGUUCGAAAGCGCUAUUUGUAUUUAUUCGAAGCCUUUGUUCGGACGGCUCGGAAAGCGGGGCUGUAGAUGAGAGAAAGCGAGAGAGAAAAAGAAAGAGAAAGAGCAAGUAAGAAGGAGAGGGAAGAAUUACUUUGCUAGCUAAAGGGAAAGGUGUUCGCGUGCGAUUUGGCCCCACCCCGACGGACCGACGAUCGUGCACGCGCGCGUGUGUGAAUGCACCUCGUGCAUUGGAUGCAACUGCAAGUGGUCAGUAGCUCGCAAAACGACU